CCUACGGGGGGCUGCAGUGGGGAAUAUUGCACAAUGGGCGCAAGCCUGAUGCAGCCAUGCCGCGUGUGUGAAGAAGGCCUUCGGGUUGUAAAGCACUUUCAGCGGGGAGGAAGGCGUUAAGGUUAAUAACCUUGGCGAUUGACGUUACCCGCAGAAGAAGCACCGGCUAACUCCGGUGCCAGCAGCCGCGGUAAUACGGAGGGUGCAAGCGUUAAUCGGAAUUACUGGGCGUAAAGCGCACGCAGGCGGUCUGUCAAGUCGGAUGUGAAAUCCCCGGGCUCAACCUGGGAACUGCAUUCGAAACUGGCAGGCUAGAGUCUUGUAGAGGGGGGUAGAAUUCCAGGUGUAGCGGUGAAAUGCGUAGAGAUCUGGAGGAAUACCGGUGGCGAAGGCGGCCCCCUGGACAAAGACUGACGCUCAGGUGCGAAAGCGUGGGGAGCAAACAGGAUUAGAUACCCGAGUGUC
rnacentral:rRNA from 1 species